GCGCCGGUGGUGUAAUGGCGUAGAGCAUUCCCCCCGGUUAGAGGGAGGUGCGGGUUCGAGUCCCGCCCGGCGCU
rnacentral:tRNA from 1 species